rnacentral:rRNA from 1 species
GGACGAACGCUGGCGGCGUGCUUAACACAUGCAAGUCGAACGGAAAGGCCCUGCUUGCAGGGUACUCGAGUGGCGAACGGGUGAGUAACACGUGGGUGAUCUGCCCUGCACUUCGGGAUAAGCUUGGGAAACUGGGUCUAAUACCGGAUAGGAGCCAUCUUUAGUGUGGUGGUUGGAAAGUUUUUUCGGUGUAGGAUGAGCUCGCGGCCUAUCAGCUUGUUGGUGGGGUAAUGGCCUACCAAGGCGGCGACGGGUAGCCGGCCUGAGAGGGUGUACGGCCACAUUGGGACUGAGAUACGGCCCAGACUCCUACGGGAGGCAGCAGUGGGGAAUAUUGCACAAUGGGCGCAAGCCUGAUGCAGCGACGCCGCGUGGGGGAUGAAGGCCUUCGGGUUGUAAACUCCUUUCGCUAGGGACGAAGCUUUUUUGUGACGGUACCUAGAUAAGAAGCACCGGCUAACUACGUG